rnacentral:tRNA from 1 species
GGUUGUGUAGUGUAGUGGUUAGCACUUUGGAUUUUGAUUCCAACAACCCCGGUUCGAACCCGGGCACGACCU